GACGAGCGCUGGCGGCAUGCCUAACACAUGCAAGUCGAACGAGAUCUUCGGGUCUAGUGGCGCACGGGUGCGUAACGCGUGGGAAUCUGCCCUUUGGUUCGGAAUAACAGUUAGAAAUGACUGCUACUACCGGAUGAUGUCUUCGGACCAAAGAUUUAUCGCCCAAGGAGGAGCCCGCGUAGGAUUAGGUAGUUGGUGGGGUAAUGGCCCACCAAGCCGACGAUCCUUAGCUGGUCUGAGAGGAUGAUCAGCCACACUGGGACUGAGACACGGCCCAGACUCCUACGGGAGGCAGCAGUGGGGAAUAUUGGACAAUGGGCGAAAGCCUGAUCCAGCAAUGCCGCGUGAGUGAUGAAGGCCUUAGGGUUGUAAAGCUCUUUUACCAGGGAUGAUAAUGACAGUACCUGGAGAAUAAGCUCCGGCUAACUCCGUGCCAGCCGCCGCGGUAAUAC
rnacentral:rRNA from 1 species